rnacentral:rRNA from 1 species
AGUGAACGCUGGCGGCAGGCCUAACACAUGCAAGUCGAGCGGCAGCGCGUCCGACCACCCUCGGGUGGUCGGAUGGCGGCGAGCGGCGGACGGGUGAGGAAUGCAUCGGAAUCUGCCUCGUUGUGGGGGAUAACGUAGGGAAACUUACGCUAAUACCGCAUACGACCUACGGGUGAAAGUGGGGGACCUUCGGGCCUCACGCGAUGAGAUGAGCCGAUGCCGGAUUAGCUAGUUGGCGGGGUAAAGGCCCACCAAGGCGACGAUCCGUAGCGGGUCUGAGAGGAUGAUCAGCCACACUGGAACUGAGACACGGUCCAGACUCCUACGGGAGGCAGCAGUAGGGAAUAUUGGACAAUGGGGGCAACCCUGAUCCAGCCAUGCCGCGUGAGUGAAGAAGGCCCUCGGGUUGUAAAGCUCUUUUGUCCGGAAAGAAAGCAAUCGGUUAAUACCCGGUUGUUCUGACGGUACCGGAAGAAUAAGCACCGGCUAACUUCGUGCCAGCAGCCGCGGU